ACCCGCCCGUCUGCCUUAAACCGACCCGCCCCAUUUCCCAUUCUCACAUAAUCCCUUUAUAACACUUACACAAAAUUAAACCCUAAAAUCCUAAAGACCCCUCAAUGCUGCGUAGCUACUGUUCAUCUUCUCCCUCACCAAAACUCACCUCUGCCUCGCCCAAAACUCGCCCGAGUUCACCCCUUAACUCACCUCACGCACUUUCCCCCUCUCUCCCCUUACCACAUAGGUGUAACGACCUCUGACAUCCAAAGACUCUCCUCCCCUUUACUCGCCUGAUUUUAACCCAUUUCACGCGAUUAGUAGGCUCUAGAAGACGUGCGUUGGAUGAGUGAGAGGCGUUGGAUCGAUUUCACUCAAUCCAAACCUCACAUUCAUCAGGUGUUCAUUUUCAAGAGGGCCCUAUCCGAUUUCUUGAAGAAGAAAAAAAAAUCUAGGGAGAUAGGGAUAUAAGGGAUUUAAGAGAAAUUAGAAAAGAAAAUGGAGGAUUUGUUCUAAGUUUUCCUUUUUUGGUUGGUUUUAUUCUUUCUGUCUUCUUCUCGAUUUCUGAAAGAAAAUGAAAAAACUUUCCAGUUCUUUUUUUCUUAUUCUUAGUUUGCUUCCAAAAAUCUGAAAAUUCGAGGAAAAAAAAAUGGUCCAUUUUCCUUCUAUGAUUUCCGUUCAAGUGAAGUUGAUUUAAGCGAGCUCGUCGCUGUUGAGAGCUGCUGAUCGAGUUUCUUCCGUGGCUGCUAAGUCAUGUUUCUCUACUGUUGCUUUGUUUUGGAUUUUCACUGCUGAACCUUUCUUGUAUUCUGCUCCUGGAAGUAGUUGAAGUUUUGAGCAUUCAGGUGUAUUUCUUCUCCUGUACUACUUUGUUUAGAUGGUUUAAAACACGGUUAAGAAGUUCAGUCUUGAUUAAAUUUAUGCAUUGCUGAUGUGAUAAGUUGCAUUUUGAUGAAAUAUGUGGCUGCUAGCAGAGCACGAAUUUGCGACGCCUUUACUCUCGAAUUCUUGUUGUUUGUUUUCAUUAGUCUGCUUUGUUUGGCUGAAGCUCGGCUAGUUGUGAAAAUGUUAGCUGAAUCUCAUUCUAGCGACGUGUUCUGUUGUGAUUUUUUUAUGAACAUUUAGUAUAUUCUUCUCAGUUGGAGCCCGAAAGAGUGUUGGAAAUAAGUUUUGUUUUCUGCCUGUUGAUAAUCUAGUCUACGUGCAUGUUGCUCUAAACUUGAUGUUGUUCCUUGUUCUAUCGUGUCCCUAUGUCAACUGAUAGCCCUAUUUGAUCGAGAAACAAUUGGUGUUGGAAUUCAUGUAUCAAAAGCUGGAGUGAUUGUGAACAUCAACUGUUUGGUGUAAAUCCUAUGUGCUUGAGUUGAUAAUUUUAUUAGACCUGAAAGUUUAAGUUUCAAGUUAUAGAAUUGAUGAGGAAGUGCAACUGUCCAAGUCUGCUUGUUUGUUUCUUUUAACCUAAAAUGUGUGUUUGUGUGACAACUUGUUGUUUGAUUAAGCAAGAUGUUCCUCAUUUGGAAUGAUAAUAGUUAUACCACUAUCUUGUGUUUUUUUUAAUUGAAAGAUUAUCCCCUUCUUCUGAACAUGAUCUAUUUUAGACCCCUUUAAUUUAAGUCACGUGUAGGCUAAGUUUUGUGAACUAAGAUUUCGAAAAUGGUCGAGAUACUGUUAGGUUUGUCGAGGUACUGUCAGGUUCUCGGUUGUUGAGUUUAGCUGAUUCUUAUUGCGAAAUCUUGUUGUUAUCCUUUGUUAAGAUACACAUCAGUUUGGUUUCUCUUUGGUUAUGGUUUAGGCAAGAUUUCAGCAUCUACGUUAAAGGCUCAAGUAGGAUUUUAGCUUGGAUUUUGCAAGUGUUUUUUCUGCUCCGCAAUGCCUAUUCAAGACGGAAACUAAAUUAGAACUUGUUGGUGUAUCGCUGUCCUUGCGAAAUCGAAGCAGUUAAGUGAUUUUACACUCAAAGGAGCCAUGAUAUGCAUAAAAGGAAAUUGACUCUUGGCUUUAGCUUGAUGUUUGCUUCUUACUUUCUUAUUCCUGCAUAGAGCCGCAGAUUUUUUUUAGUGUAAAUGUGUAGCUGAUAACAAAUGUUUGUUUGGAUCAAGCAUGUUUUGUGUUGUGCGAAAAUUAUUUGUGAAUGAAUCCUGUUUUGCAAGUAUAUCUCAAUAUUAGUGUGAAUUCUGAUUGUAUAAGACCCCCAAGAUAGAGCUCAAACCUCACUUCUAAUCUCCCCCAGAUCCGCAUUUUAAACUCGACAGAACCCAGCCAAAAGCGCAGCUGAACCUCGUCCCGAAACCCAUCAUAGUUUUAGCCACAAAACUUGCCUGAAACCUUCAUGAAACAAUCAGAAAUUUAGUCCCUCACACCUCUAAAAGCGUUGCAAUUCAAGCUUCAUUCCAACCAUAUGACUUGAUGAGAGGCUAUAAUUACAUAUUUUAGUCGCUUAUUACACUCAAAUUUACUGUACUUUAAUUGAGUUUGAGCUUUAAUCGCUAGUGUCUUGCACUAAUUGUGUGUUUUAUGCCUUGUAGGAGUGAUUCCGAGCUAUGUAGAUGUAUAAAAUGAACUCAAGUGAUUUUGAACUUUGAAGUCUGAGUAAAAGCCCAAGAAAUUAAGCUAGGAUCGUAUUCAGGGAUCAACGGAUGAUAGAGCAACAAAACAAAGAAUCGAGUAGGCAUAUUGCGCACUAUUUAGUAAAUGCACAUAACAUUUUGCUCAGAGCUCCUUUUGAGCUCCACAAUAUAUGGUUGGAAAGCUAACUCAAAGGGAUACAACUUUCAUGUUUUACGUUUUUCAAAUUCCAAACGGAACAGGGUGAAAAAUUCGGUCGAAACUACGACCGCGGACCUGAGGCGGGCUGAGGCAGUAGACUUGCCAAAUACCACGCCCGUACCGCACCCGGGCCGCGGCCGCAGACGCCCAGACCUGGAAACUUGUCCGUUUUCGCGUAGGAGAAGGUAAUAGUUGGGCCCCGACCUUACUUGGUAUAUAUGCAUGGAAAAACAGUAUUUUGAAGGGAGGAGACCAAUUUUUGACACAGAUUCGAACUAAGGAGGCAGAGACACAAUAGGAGCAAGGCAAAGAUUCUUCUACGAGUUUUUCCUUCUUCUUCCUAUUUUUUCAUUGUUGGUUAUGACUUUUAGUAUUGUAAUUUUACAUACUAUUAUGAAUAGCUAAUUUGUUAUCUAGGAUUUUGAUAGAACCUUUUGUAGGAUAAAUUCUUGUUAUAUUUUUAUAUAAUUGAGCCGUUGGAUUUCUCUACUUGUUCAACUACGUAUUUGUUAUUGUUGAUUGAAUGGCCAUCAAUUGAUUGUGCCUAUUUAGUGUGUAGUGCUCGAGAGAGAGAGAGUGUACAUAUUUAGGUAAUUGUUGAACAACGUCACCCCUAACGUAUGUGAGAAACCAAUACAGUGGGUUUAAAGGUAGGUUUAGAAAUAACAAAACCUUGAUAUGGUCAUAAUGAGCGGUUAGAUAAAGCAAACUAGUAUAGUUCGAAAGAAUAUGUUUAGUAAAUUGUUGUAGUUGCUCGAGAGAGAAUUACGGUAUAUAAAGUGCUCACGAUCAGUAGAGAAUACAUUGGCAAAAUUGUAGGGAACAUAGCUAGAAGGAUUCCGACAAUUGGGAAAAUCAUAACUCUAGACCUCCUUAAUUUAGUCUCCAACCCUUUGUCUCGUUAGUUGGUAAU
rnacentral:lncRNA from 1 species